CAUCCUUGUGCCUGGCCCCAGCUCCGGCAAGAAGCCAGAGCAGAGUGCAAUCAAAGUGGGCCCUCACCUGGGACUCCUUGAGCGGAUUCAGGGCUGGUGCCAUUGUGUGUCAGUUGUAAGCGUCUUUGAGAAUCCUGCAGAGAAACCAGGUCAGGAGCCAGGAAGACAGUUCAAACGCAGAAGCCAAGGCAAGAGGGGAAACCAAAGUCAGAGUCAAGCAAAGCCAAGGUCACCGCCAAGGAGUCUGUCAAGCAGAGCAGAAAGCUGGGAGCAGCAUCAAGCUAGCAAAAGUCAGAAAGUUUUGAGCCAAGGAAAAUGCCAAAUGACUUAAAUGAGCAUGUCAGAGAGGAAGACUCCCAGAUCUCAAGACCUGGACUCGUUUGUCCAGACAGGAGGAGCUCAGAAGGAGAGUUCUGCCUUUGAAAAAUGACCAGAGGGCUUUCUGAAGUGGGUUACAUCGAAGUCUGGACAACGCGUUCAGAAGAGAAGUCCAUGGCAGGCAUCUGCAACCUGGUUUGUUUCUUGCCUCUUCUGCCUAGAGAGGGGGUGAAAAAUAUUCCAUGAGUGUGGAGGGUCUAGGAAAGGCAUUCCCCUCUCCAACAUUCCCCAAGAAGAUUAAAGCUCCGUUGUUCUCUUGCCAAUUUUAGCCCAUUAAGCUAGCUAAUCACAAGGAAAGGCCAUUAUUAGCUGAACAACACACUGUAAAUAAUUAAUGCAAAAAGCAGGAUUGCAUCCCUGGAGAGGCAUCCUGGGCUUCAGCCAUCAGGGAUAGCCCUGGUCCGGGGAGCCCUUCAAAGAGGGAGGGAGGGAGGGAGUGAAAAGGAGGGGUUUUCUCCAUAGGCAAUGCUAGUCACCUCCUUGGUGUGGAAAAGGAAGACAGUGGGAAGAAGCUAGUCCUCCUUCUCCUGAACAGAAAAUGAAAGUCUUGAUAUGCAAGUGAAGGGGGCAGCAGUGGAUCACUUGAGAAGGUGUUCACUGCCUGAGGUGAAGAGCAUGAGGGCUGUAUGGAAGCUGACUGGCCCUGACAGUUGAAUACCACCAUCCUCUAUGACACCCUGAAGGCAGUAGGUUAGUUUAAGAAAUCAGAGUGGAUGCUAAAUGUCCCACACAACCCAACAGACAGGGGAUCAGGAGGAACAGGCUAGGGGGUACUGUUGCGUGGCACCCCACUUCCCUGCAUCUCCUGGCUGAGAUUGUUGCCCUAUUUAGCUUCAUGACGGGUCCAGAACUAAGCAGACACAAAAGCCCUAUGGGCACAGGUCAAGAUAGCUCUAAUGCUGGGGAUCAGUGUUUCCAGCCUCAACACACUCUGGAUGUGCAAAGUACAUUAACCUUCAAUGUUCCCUAGGAAUCUAUAUAGUUGGGGGAAGGUAACAUUCUGGCAGAGUCCGCCUGCAUUUCCCACAAGCCCUGUUUAGCAAAGGUAAUCCAUAUGUUUUCACUUUGAAAGCGUCUGCCCUCACUAGUUGAAAAGAUCCAAACACAUCAAGCUGCCUUAAACUGAAACAGAUCAUUGCUCGCUCCAUGCAGCUGAAUACUGACUCUGUUUUUUUGAAAUCUCAAGCUGGGUUUUUUCUGCUACUUUUAAUGGAAAAUUCUGCAGAUUGAAUUUUGGAAAUUUCUCAAAGCUUGGAAGUACUGUAACUAGUUGUUUGUAUAAAAAGGUUCUUAUUAAUCUUGUUUUGCAGUUACUAAAACACAGUUAUGUUCUAAUACUAUUGUAACAUAUCAAGGGAUAAUGUAACUUCCUUCACUGUGUUACUGUAUGUUUUUAGUUAUUUUCAUAGUGAACAAAAGUGUGUAGUCUCA